rnacentral:rRNA from 1 species
ACGGAAGGCAGCAGUGGGGAGUAUUGCACAAUGGGGGAAACCCUGAUGCAGCAACGCCGCGUGAAGGAUGAAGGCCCUUGGGUCGUAAAAUUCUGUUCUAAGGGAAGAUAAUGACGGUACCUUAGGAGCAAGUCCCGGCUAACUACGUGCAAGCAGCCGCGGUUAUACGUAGGGAGCAGGCGUUAUCCGGAAUUAUUGGGCGUAAAGAGUGCGUAGGUGGUUUCCUAAGCAUGGGGUUUAAGGCAAUGGCUUAACCAUUGUUCGCCCCAUGAACUGGGUUACUUGAGUGCUGGAGGGGAAAGCGGAAUUCCUAGUGUAGCGGUGAAAUGCGUAGAUAUUAGGAGGAACACCAGUGGCGAAGGCGGCUUUCUGGACAGUAACUGACGCUGAGGCACGAAAGUGUGGGGAGCAAACAGGAUUAGAUACCCUGGUA